GGCAACAAACAUGUGCUUGGAAUUCUUUCAACAUGUUUCCCAUGCUCCUAAAACCUCUAAAAUUCAAAAUCCUCUUUGAUACCGCCUAAAACCUAUAUGUAUACUUGUUCUCUCACAAUGUACUCAUCGCUCACACCCAUACACACAAAGGUGUGAGGAGAGAGAGCGCGAGAUGCUUGAAAGAGGCAGAUAACUGGUGGGUUCCGGCCAUGGCGGCUGCGGUACAUGCCAGUUUCGCAAUGACGAGUUCAACCGAUCUAGCAGUUCUUCCUCCUGAUACAGGCAUCAUGAAGAGGGACUAGGAAAUAGGAGAAGGCAUAAACUUUUAUCUUUAUGAACAUGUUAAUGCCAAAAAUUAUUUCUUUUAUAUUUUCAAGACGAGUAUUAUCUUUACAUUAGAAGAAGCCCUUGGAGUGUUCGCUCUAAUAUCAAAGAUCAAGAGCCGACCCCAAAGGAAACGUUUGCACAGGAUUGUUGAUGAUAGCAACAAGGGCAGCUCUAAUAAGUGAGUGCAAUUAUUUUUAAAUAACUUUCUCUGCUUUCCAUAUUGUUUAAGAGAUUCUUUUAUGUGAAGUGAAUUUUAAGAAUGUUCACAAUGAUCGCCGGGCUGUACUCUAUCUGAAUGAUUGUGAUUGUGCGGAGGAACUUUGUCGUGAGAAGGCAACAUUUAUAAGGAAAAAAUUAUGUGCGCAAAGUCAGCCUCAGGACAUGGCUGUGGAAUUUCUGAUAAGAUUAUUCAUCUUAUUCUGUACUGUUACCUAUUAGUUUUUUUAUACUAAUACUCAUUAAAGUAUCGUCUACUUGAUUCUUUUUGAACUUGGUGUACUUUAUUUGAGGUAAUAUCCAUAAUCCAUCGGUUACAAAUCACUUUGGGAUAUAUUUGAUCUCUAACAGGUCAAACUGUUUGAAGGUUGACUAAUCUUUUUUUAUAAUGCA